AUUUAAAAUAUUAAUUUAAUAUUAUUUAUUUAAAGUUUAUUUAUUAUUAAAAUGAUUUUUUUUAAUUUAUAGUUUUAGUAUAUUAAUUAGAAAAAAAUAAUUUUUAAUUUUUUUGAGUAAAGUGAUUGAAGUUAAUAAAAAAUAAAAUAGGAAAAUUAAUUUUUUGUUCCUUUUGUAUUAGGAUUAAUUAAAUUAAAAAUAUAUAUUUUAUUUAUCUAGAAAUUUAAUGAGUUAAAUUAAUUUGAUUUUAUUAUAUAAAAAUAUAAUAAAAAAAAUUUUUUUAGUAAUUAAAUGUUAAUCGAAUUAAAUAAUAUCUAGUUUUUUAUGAAAUAAAUUUAAUUUAUAAAAAUAUUUUUAUUUAAGAUUUAUUAAUUAAAAUUUAAUUAAUAAUAUUUUUUAAUAAUAUAAGGAUUAUAUUUUAUAUUAGAAUUAUAAAAUUUAUUUAAUUUAUUUUAAAUUUAAAUAAUAGAUUUAAAAUUUAUUUUUUUUAAUAAGUAUUUAAAAAUUAAAUUGAUUAAUAUUAAUUAUAAGAUUUUUUUUUGUUUUAAUUUAUUAUAAAUAUAAUAAAAUUUUUUUUAUAAUUAUUUAAAUUAUUUAAUAAUGAUUAAAUUAGUAAAAAUUAUGUUUUUAAAUUUUUAAUUUAUUUAUAUUAAAUUUAUGAAUUUAGCAAUUAUUUUUAUUUACCUGUUUAACAAAUACAUGGUUUUUUGAAUAUAAUAUAAAAUUUGUUCUGCUCAAUGAAUUUUUUUUAAAUGGCUGCAGUAUUUUAACUGUACUAAGGUAGCAUAAUAAUUUGUUUAUUAAUUGUAAACUAGAAUGAAUGAAUUUAUAAGUAAAAACUUUAUUAAUUUAAUUAAAUUGAAUUUAUUUUUUUAGUAAAAAAACUAAAAUAAUUAAAUGGGACGAUAAGACCCUAUAGAAUUUUAUAAUUUUUAUUAAAAUAGUUUUAUUAAUAUAUUUAAUUAAUAAAAUUUAUUUGAUUGGGAGGAUAAUUAAAUUAAUUAAACUUUAAUUUAUAAAUUCCAAUAAUUAUUGAAUAUUUGAAUUUUUAUUAAAUUGAAAAAGAAUAAUUACCUUAGGGAUAACAGGGUAAUUUUUUUGGAUAGGUCAAAUUGAAAAAAAUGUUUACUACCUCGAUGUUGAAUUAAGAUAAAAUUUAUUAGAAGAAAAUUUUUAUUUUAGUCUGUUCGACUAUUAAAAUCUUACAUGAUUUGAGUUCAAAUCGGCGUGAGCCAGAUUGGUUUCUAUCUAUUUAAGUUUAAUUUAUUUUUGUACGAAAGGACUUAAUAAUUAUAAUAUUUAUUUUAUUAUGGAUUAAUUUAAUUUUAUAAAAAAAAUUAAUUAAUAAUUAAUUUAAAGUAA
rnacentral:rRNA from 1 species